ensembl:lncRNA
AAAACCUUCAGGGUUUAUUAUUUCUCUAUAUAGGGCCUCUUGGAGGUUAAAAUGUAUCUUGGUACAUAUUAAAUAAAAUGUUGACACCAUAAACUGUAGUUUAUGCUAACAACAAAAAAGUCUUCCAGUUCCUCUGCCAACAAAGGACCCUGUUAAAACCUUUGGAUAAUUUAGUUGUCAUAAUAUUUACAUAAAGAGAACAUAAGAGAGAAGGUAGGAAGGAAGUGAAAAAGCAGAAUGCCUGUUGAACAAGAGGGAUUCAAAGAAAAUGCAGAGGAGAGCCUAGAAAUGUAGUAGCACUGGCCUGUUACAGAAAUGCAGAAAGCUUCACUCUUUUAAACUUGAAGAGUCCAGCCAUUUAUACUAAAAAUCUUGAUAUUAUAUACAUGAUUGGGCCCAUUUUGCUCUAUGCACAGCAGAGACUGUAGAAGCAUUUGAGUCAGUUUAUAGAAGAGUGGCCCAUAGAAAGGCGUGCCCCUGGGAGCUGUGUGCCUCUCACACUGCAGAGGUAUCUGGUCAUGUUCACGUGCAUCCUGAGUGCACUCUGGUUAGCUUGCCAGUUCCAUGAAAGAGCCAGAUGGAUUGUAGGAUUGUUUUCUUACUUCAGUAGUAGAGCAUUGUCUUUUAUCUCUCAUUGCGAAAGAAAGGAAGUAUGUGGAUGAAAAUUUUGUACAUCCUCUUCCUGAGGCAGGUAGACAUGAUGAGAAAUGAUUUUUGGUAGAGUUAGGAUUAUAAAGUAAAAAUGAUGUUGUUACCAGCAAGUGUGAUAUUAACAUCUCACCCCUGUCUUGGGUCUUACACACAGGUGGCUUUGCAGCUGCAGUCACCACGCCUCUGGAUGUGGCAAAGACAAGGAUUAUGUUGGCGAAGGCUGGUUCCAGCACUGCUAGUGGGAACGUGCUCUCUGCCCUGCAUGGGGUCUGGCAGUCACAGGGGCUGGCAGGAUUGUUUGCAGGUGUCUUCCCACGAAUGGCAGCCAUCAGCCUGGGAGGGUUCAUCUUUCUGGGUGCUUACGACCAAACCUACAGCCUGCUGUUAGAAGUGGGCAGAAAGAGCCUCUGAUGUGGAGCGACUGCACAUGUGCUUCCUUGAAGGAGGAGGCUGUUGUGUGGACUCUGCCUUCUGGUGAGCAGCUGCUUUAUCAUGACACUGGGUCCUCCGCAGUGUAGACUGGCUGGAAGGUAUCAGUAGUGGUGGCACUCUGAACUGUCUCUGAGGCCCCUCAAUGAACGAGCUUGGCCGUGCUGGGGCCUUCAGAGCAGUCCUUCGAUCAGAAAGGCAGCCUUCCCUUCCUGCCACGUGAUGGAUUUGCCAGAAGGCUGAAUUGGGAAAAGGAAGAUGACUUGGGGCAGAAAUGGUCUCUGUGGAGGUUUGUCCUUGUGUCAAUGCCUAUUGUGUAAGAUUGUAGCUUUGUUUAUUAGGGACACGCUGGAGCAUGCAUUCUUUCUGGUAGCCCAGCUACGUGCUCACCCUCAGAUUUUGCCUAUAAAAACACAUAAUUAGAGCCGUGUCCAGCAACCCAUGUGCUAGGUGAGAGACAGCACCCUUUGGGGAACUCGGCUUGACUAAAUCAGAUGCUGAAACUCAGAAUGCUCAGGACCCCGGCAGUGUUGGGGCACUAGUGUAUGAUUCGGUUUUCUUUUCCCCAUUUGGGAAAACAUUACUAAAAGCAGAAUGACCACAUUUAUUUUUUAAGGGAAUCCUUAAAAAAGUGUUGGUCAUGUAUAUACAAGAAUGACACCAGCCAUACACUUAACAUUUAUAAAUGAACGUUUAUUAAAGACACUUCAAUAUUUUACAUGUUUUUUCCAUGUACAAUGUACCAAAAUUUCUAUAAAUAAAUAACUUUGUACAUAAAAGUAAUACUUCCUU